GACGAACCGUGCAAACGUUGUUCGGAAUCACUGGGCUUAAAGGGCGCGUAGGCGGCUUGCCAAGUCCGGGGUGAAAUACUUCAGCUUAACUGGAGAAGUGCCUUGGAUACUGGCAGGCUCGAGGGAGGUAGGGGUUGCUGGAACUUCCGGUGGAGCGGUGAAAUGCGUUGAUAUCGGAAGGAACGCCGGUGGCGAAAGCGAGCAACUGGACCUCUUCUGACGCUGAGGCGCGAAAGCUAGGGGAGCAAACGGG
rnacentral:rRNA from 1 species